UCUCCCUCAUCUUCACUGCCGCCGGACCGGCGGGCCGGCCGCCCAUGUCAUCCCAAGGGCAAGAUCCCUCCUCUAUCCGGCCGCCGUGCCUCCGCCCACGUAUUCCCCUCCGUCCCCUCUCCCUCUUUGACCACCAUCGCUUUUACUUAGGAAGUUAUUGGCGAUCUGUCCUCUUCUUUCUCCUGAGGCGGCUGCCGGCGCAGAUGAGAAGCUCAGCGCCCUCCUCUCCUUCCUGAGGUGGGUGGCACCGCGGUAGUCUGUCUCUCCGCGGCUGUUGGCGCGGUAGUCUGAUCCUCCCUGGUGUUGCUGAUUCGUCAUCUUCUUGCGUGUGGUCGCCAGCAGACUGGUUGGAUUGAAGUGGCGGUCAUACCUUGCCGCAGUGGUUCUUGCCUCUCCCGGCCUAAUCCUUCGGCCACUUCAACCGGCGAGGUUGCACUCAUGGAGGGCGCCAAUCAGAGAUAACCUACACGCCCUCUACUCGGCUUCGGCUAUGGGCAACACCUUCGUGUGCCACUACAUGGCCUCCAGAUCCCACUCAUAGAUGGAGUCAUGGAGGCAGUGGCGGACCAGUAAGCUACCUUUUUCUCGGGUCUCCCUCUCCUCCCUGCACGCAGAUAAGAAAAAGAGAAGCACACACAUGUGGAAAAUUGCAAGGAAGAAAAAGAAAAUGUAGACCCUCCAUGAGAGCAAGCAGAAACAAGAAUUGUUAAAAACACAAAGAGGUAGCCAUACCGUACAUGCUGGAUGAUCAUCGGAGGAACAUAGUUCUCCGAUUCCAUGUAGGCAGUUCUGCAUUUGACAUAGAACCUUCUUUUUGGAAAUUCUCAAUGCUUAUUGAAUGCCAGCUAUAUGUUGUUUUAAUGCAUUUUUUGUCACUGCGGAUGCUAUCGUACAUGCUACAGUCUAUCUUAGGUAUUACUUUGACAUUUUUCCUGCUUCUAGGGAAAAGGAUGUAUGCCAAUUCAACCUUAUAUGUACUACUAAUAAUAUAACUAUAUGGUGCUUACAGGCAGUUCAAUACAUACAGAAAUGAGAUAUUCAUAUUGUGGGUUUUGCUACUUUGUUCAUUUGUGGUCCUUUAGCCAAGAGGAGUCAUGGUUCUGAUCUUUCUCAGUACUAUGCUAAACAAUUGGUGGAAUGUGUAUCAUGUACGGUUGAGGUCUUUUAAUCCAAGGCUACCAUUAUGUACCAGAAGAAUACCCAGAAAAUCACAAGGUUAGAUACUAAGUUGUGUACUUCAGUUUCACACUCAAUCAUUUAUUUUGAGAGCUGAGAUUUCAUUUGUUUGGAGACCUCUGUGUUAGUUCCUAUUAUUUGCUCCCCUAUAGGGCUUCCCUCUGAAACUUUUCAUUCACUAAUGAUUGGAGCGGCUCUAGCAAGGUAAUUAGUUUGUUAUGCUUCAAAUAUCAUAUCAUGUACAAUAUAAGCAAAGUAGAUACCUCUGUAUUAAGAGAUCUCAGGAUUCCAAAGUGGGAACCCUACAAACUUAAUUGUCCAUUUUCAGCGAGCAGUGAAAUUGUUUUGUAGUCCAUUGCUACAAGCUGCUAAUGCAUUCUAUUAUUAGUUACUUGACUAAAUUAUGUUCAAAAUUGUUGCCGGUAAAUUACAAUGCUGCUAACAUUUUUUAUUUGUGUAUUCCCCAUAUUUUGGUGUCAGAGAGUUGUUUUUGGAUGAUUAGUGUUGCGAAGUGCAUGAUAAUUAUAAAUUUAUGAUAUUUCUUUCCCGAGCAAUAUUGUUGUUGAAGACAGCAGUACAGGCGGCGCGGCGAUGGAAAAAUAUGGGGUCGAUGAUAGACCAAAGGGUCCUGAUUUUGUAUGAGAAGACAUUCAAAAUUAUCGAUGACCAGAUGAUUUUCAGGGACAUUUUGGAAGCUGCUACAGAGUGGUACUUUUCAGGAAAAUCCUUGCGGUCAUAGAUGACCGACCAGGAUGUCAUAUCAAAUGUAGAGCCACAAACUCUACACAGUGGUUGAGAUCUUGCAACUAUCUCGGAGAAGUUGAUGCAAAGCUGAAGAAGAAUAUGAAGAUUACUGAUAAAGCAAUCGGGUAUCUUAGAAAUGCCCAAUAAGAGAUGACAAAAGUGGUGAACCAUAGAUGGCAGGAGUGUUGAACUGUAAUUUGUGAGGAUACUGAACUAGAACUAGAGGUUAGUUCCAUGUUGUCAUUUCCAGAUCACAAAUAUUUGGGAUGUUUUGUUCAAGAGAGCUGAACCAUGGAUUUCUUGCUAUUUAUUGUAUGCUGUGUUGAAAUACUCUGAGCCAAGGAAAUAACAGUACUAUAUAUAUGCUUUGUUUGA